rnacentral:lncRNA from 13 species
AGAACACAGAGUUCUUUCUCUCUAAAGGAUGCAGCAACAAGGUACCAUAUUGGAACCAGAGACUGAACCUUCCAGCACCUUGCUUUUGAACUUCCCAGCCUCCAGAACUGAAUUUCCCGGCACAAAUUUGCUUGGUGCCAACCUUGUGAGACGGGACUUGCUCCUCCUUGCCUUCUGCCAUGAUUGUGAGGCCUUCCCAGCCACGUGGAACUCAAAUUGUGCUUGAGUCUACAGGUCAAGAAGAUGAGAAAUGUCUGGUCUCGGCCACAGACACAAGACGAUGAACAAAUAGUCAUCAUUUGAAAAGUGUCACAAUAAGAAGUAAAUGUGCUGCUGCUGUGGUGCCAAGGCCUACCAACUUCAGAGAUGAUCUCUAGCAAAUGCAGCUGCCCUGCCAAGCACAAGAGAAGCCAGUUGCCACGUAAUGAGCAGUCCUAUGGAGAGACCCACGUGACAGCAGUCAUGCGAGUGAUACUGGAAGUGAAGCCCGCAGCUCCAGUCAAGCCUUCAGAAGACUGCAGCCCUGGCUGACAGCUUGAUGGCAACCUCCUGAGAGACCCUCAGCUCGAACAACCCAGCUAAGCUCUGCCUGGAUUCUUG